UGUAUCUGAAGUCUGACGAGGAUGAGAACCUCCGGGGGCAAGAGGUUCGACUCGAGCGAAGCGAGAGAACGUUGCGCCAGCAACGGCCCGCAGGGCGAGCCACGCAGUGGCGAGUCAUCCUCUAUCACCGGCAG
rnacentral:sRNA from 17 species